rnacentral:rRNA from 1 species
CUGCACGCCCCAUCCGCCAUGGCCGAGAUCAACCAUGACGCCGCAGAGGAAGGAGACAGGCAACUCCUGUCCACUCUCCCGAAGAAGGAAAGGAUGUGGAAGCCAUUCUUCCUCUACCGAGGCUGCUGGCUCACGCCCCGGGCCGUGACGAGCAUCACGCUCCUGCAGUCCCAGUUCGCGCCGCGCCCCGACGACGUCGUCCUCGCCACCUUCCCCAAGUGCAGCACCACCUGGCUCAAGGCGCUCGCCUUCGCCUUCGCCGUCGCCAACCGCUCCCGCCACCCCGUCGUCGGCUCCGGCGCCCACCCGCUGCUCACCCACCCGCAGGACCUCGUGCCGUCCCUCGAGCUGCCCCACCGCGACGUCCACCCGGUCGCCGGCCUCCACAAGCUCCCUUCCCCAAGGCUCCUCUCCACCCACCUGCCGCCGUCGCUGCUGCCCCCGCGCAUCUCCGCCCUCGGCUGCCGCGUCGUGUACAUGUGCCGGGAGCCCAAGGACGUGUUCGUCUCCAGCUGGCACUACAUGAACAAGUACGACGACAUGAUGGCCGACGCGGGCAAGCACGUCAAGAUGAUCGCCGAGUUCCUCCGCGUCCCGUUCACCGGUGAGGAGGUCAGCAGCGGGGCCGUGGAGGAGGUCGUGUCCCGGUGUAGCUUCGAGAAUCUGAAGAGCCUGCUGGUCAACUCCUCAGGAGUGUCCGAUCGGAUUGGUGGGAUGCCCAUGGAGAACUCGUCCUACUUCCGUGCUGGGAAGGUGGGGGACUGGAAGACACACUUGACUGAGGAGAUGGCGAAGAAGCUGGACUGCAUCGUUGAAGAGAAGCUGAGAGGUUCUGGUCUCACCUUCUGA